AGUGAACGCUGGCGGUAGGCCUAACACAUGCAAGUCGAACGGCAGCACAGUAAGAGCUUGCUCUUACGGGUGGCGAGUGGCGGACGGGUGAGGAAUACAUCGGAAUCUACUUUUUCGUGGGGGAUAACGUAGGGAAACUUACGCUAAUACCGCAUACGACCUACGGGUGAAAGCAGGGGAUCUUCGGACCUUGCGCGAUUGAAUGAGCCGAUGUCGGAUUAGCUAGUUGGCGGGGUAAAGGCCCACCAAGGCGACGAUCCGUAGCUGGUCUGAGAGGAUGAUCAGCCACACUGGAACUGAGACACGGUCCAGACUCCUACGGGAGGCAGCAGUGGGGAAUAUUGGACAAUGGGCGCAAGCCUGAUCCAGCCAUACCGCGUGGGUGAAGAAGGCCUUCGGGUUGUAAAGUCCUUUUGUUGGGAAAGAAAAGCAGCAGGUUAAUACCCCGCUGUUCUGACGGUACCCAAAGAAUAAGCAUCGGCUAACUUCGUG
rnacentral:rRNA from 1 species